GAAUUGUGAGUCUGCUGGGGGACUUGGAAUCACAGAUGGCUCCUGUGGAAGUCACACUGCAUGACCCAGGGAGUAUUGACUUCUCCUGAAGUUAAGGCCCCAUGACUAGGACAGUUCUUGUGAGAGUUGACUGGUAUUGUGUGACAGGCCUAUGACUUGACAGAAGAUGGCAGUAGAGGAGCCCCUAGCCCAAGCAGAAGGACUCAGGGGACUGUUUCUCUCUACUCAUAAUACAUGUGUACAAUCUAAGCAGCUUUGGAAUAUGGGAGCGGCUGAAAGAGCUAAAGCAAAAUGUCAGUGAAACAGUCCCACCAUGGAUGUUAUACCUAUUGGAAAAUGACAAUAAGAAAAGGCAAAAUGCAAUCUCAAACAUCUACUCCAUCAGGAGCAAGACCAACAGACAUUGAAAUAGAGGACUUUAAAAGGCAUAAAUCAGAAACUUCAAAAGAUAGCAAAUGAAGUAAAGAAACAGAUCCAUGAAGCUAUAGAGGACAUCAAACUAGAAAUAAUGUCUCAUGUAAAGAAAUAACAGAUGUAACAACUGUAGGAAACAUGUUUCUCAACAUAGCUAGAGAAGAAACAGAUAAAACAAAAAAUACAGGAGCAUGGUAAAUUGAAACUAUGAGUGAACAACUUAGAAAACAAGCAGAAUCUAUGAAACAUAUGCAAAGAGAUAUUCAAGCAAUUAAAAAAAUUGAAAGCUGGCAAAACCAUUUAAAUGAUGCGGAGGAUAGAAUUUCAUAAUUUGAGGACAGUAUUGCAGGGAGUGAUCAUGAAAGUGUAGAACAUAUAAAAAUAGCAAAGCAUCAUGAAAUGACAAUCCAACAGCUUCAACAUGAUGCCAAGAGAAGCAAUGUAAGACUAAUAGACAUCAGUGAAGAUGCAGGAGUCAAUGCAAAUGACAUAACUAGGCUAUUCACAUAAAAAUAACAGAAAAAUUUCCAAACAUGAAGAAAAUUCUGAUAUACAAAAAAGUGAGACACACAAAGUGCAAAACAGUCACAACAAACAUAAGUCUAUGGUCAAACAUAUAAUAAUUAAGAUCCCAGACAUACAGCUUAAAAAGAGAAUACUAAAACUGUUAAAGAAAAGACACAACUCACCUGUCCAGGAAAGACUAUGAUUACUAUUAAGGCAAUAUUUCAGCACAAACCGUCAGGUUAAGAUGAGCUUGGAGUGAACAAUUUCAAGCCCUAACAGAAAACAACUUUUAACCUAGACUGAUGUACCAAGAAAAAGUGUCUUUCAAAUUUAAUGGAGAAACAAGAUACUUCAAUGACAAAGAACAACUGAAGAAAUUAAUGUCCACCAAACCAACCCUAGAAGGCUUACUGAAAGACAUGAUAGAUAGAGAUAAAAAGGACCACAAUCUCCAGAACAACAGAAAGAAAUGACCAGGCUGGGCAAGAAAUUGAACAAGGGAGAAAAGCAGGAAAUCAACAACAGGAAUACAACCUGGCAAUGUCAAGCCAGUACAUAUCAGUGAUAUCCAUAAAGGUAGAUGGGCAUAACUCACCUAUAAAAAGAAACAGGUUGACAGAAUUGAUCAAGAAACAGGACCCCACAAUAUGCUGUAUACAACAAACACAUCCUACUCAAAAUUCAUAGAUUAAAAGACAAAGGAUGGAAAACAGUUUUCCAUGAAACAGAAACCCAGAAAAAACAGGGUAGCUAUUGUGUUUGUGGAACAUGUGAACUUUAAACCUAAAAUGUUUAAAGGAGAUAAAGAAGGCAACUACAUAUGUGUAAGUGAGAUACUGCAAAAGGAAGAAUUACAAAUAUAUAUGCACCAAAUACAGGAGCACCCAACUAUAUAAGGCAAAUACUAAUGCACAUGAAAAACCAAACACAAGUACAUAAUUGCAAUAGGAGACUUUAACACCCCACUGUUACAGAUAGACCAACAAGACAAAAAGUCAGCAAAGAAAUAACAGCACUGAAUAAUACCUGUGAGUAAACGGACUUGAAGGAUAUUUACAGAGUGUUCCACCAAACCACAUCAUAAGUUAUAUUGGAAUACACAUUCUUCUUAGCUCUACAUCGGACCUUCUCCAAAAUAGAUCAUAUAUUAACCAAUACAACAUGCUUAACUAAAUGCAAAAGGAACACAAUUAUCCCAUGCAUAAUAUCAGACCAUAUCUCAAUAAAAUUGGAAAUCAAUGGCAAAAAAGUGCAAAGCCUUCAAAUACAUGAAAAUUAAAUAACAACUUUCUGAAUAACCAGUGUGUUACAGAUGAAAUUAAAGGGCAAACAAAACAAUACUUAGAAUACAAUGAAAACACAAAUACAACAUACUGUAACCUAUGGAAUGCAGCGAAAGCAGUCCUCAGCCUUUGAACCUCCAUUGGGCAGGCAGGGCAAGAAAGUAGAGGAAGACAAGGGGCUUUCUCUGCCAAGACAGAAAAUAUAGAAGGAAAAGGGGCCCAUCCAGCUGUAAGUGUUACACCCACUUCUGAGCCUGUAUCCUGAGGCCAGAGAGGAGACAGCUGUUUUGAUCACUUUGCUAGAAAUCAGGAGUCGAAACAGAGCUACAAAGGCUGGACUUGGGAGCCCAACUGAGGGAUCCUCUAGAAGAUUUGCCUGCAUUUUGUUUUCACUUCCUGUUCCAUGACUUAGUCGUCACCAGCUGUGGCAGUGUGAAUUCACGUGUCUUUCCAAGUGAGCUGCUUCUGGGGAUCUUGUGUAGGCAGCACACAGUGAGAUCUCUAUGUGUCUCUGUUAGGUUUUGCACAGAGCAAAGUAUAAAAGUGCAGUUCCCACGAUAGUAAGAUUGGCCCCAAAGUUCCAUUAGUGAGGUCUUAGUUUGAAGACAGCUGAUGCUUUGAUUGUCAAGUUUGCAUGUGCAUGAAGGACUCAGUGCUGGCCAGGUAGAUUGUGUCCUUCCUGUACGAGGUUUUUCAUCAGUUGUGCUUUUAUACACACAUAUCAGAAGUGGAUUUCUUGUUUGUGUUUUGCUUAUAAAUUAUCAUAUUUUUAUUACUACUUAUUUACAGUGUGUACUGAUUAUGUUUUUUAUUAGGUCCAUGGCACAUGUGAUGCAUAGAAUGGAAAAUAGGCCCUACCCUGUGCACAGUGGUGCCGUCCAUCAAUUCAUGACUGUUCUCAAUGUGGCAGCCAUUGAGAACCUAGUUCAGGGUCAAGCCAUUGCCAGCACAAAGCACUACUUUGUCUGGAUUCUUCUUUCUUUAUGAUCAUUGCAGUGGGUAUGAUGCAAUAUUUGGAAGCUUAGUCCAGCCCUAACCCUAACUCUAACCUGAACCCCAAAUCUAACUAAUCCUAAAAAGUCACUACCAGCAUUCUCUGGGGAAAGAAAACUUGAUGGCAUUGAUGUGGGAAAUGUAACAUAAGUUAAUUAUAAGGACAUAAGAUCACUGGUGGCUGGGGUGGAGCAGCAAAGGAAAGUAAAAAAAAAAGCAUUGUGUAAAAAUUUGAAGAGCAUUCUGGAAUUGGACAGUGGGGAAAUCCUCACAACAUUGAGAAUACACUGAAUGCCAGAAAGCUGAUUACUUUAAACUUCAUUAAAAUGUUACAUUUUAUUUAUUUUGUUCUGUCACUAACAAAUCUGAGAAAUAAGAGUAGUGAUGAAUACAAUGAUAAAUACAACUGGAAGAGAGGGGAAUGGCAGGGGUGGGUCAAGAGCUGCCCACAGGUAGAACUCAAGAGAUGACUCCUGCUGUGGAGCACCCAGGAGGUCCAGCUCUGCAGCUGAUGGACAAGGGAAUCCAGUUGCUGGCUCUUGCUGUGGGGCCAGAGCUGGUGAGGGAGCUGCAGGUGGAGCUGGCACAAGGUCAGGAGGUGCAACUUAUGCAUGAACUGAAACUGGACCUGUAAUUUCAGGAACAGAAAAUAUCACCAACUGUCCAUGGAUUUCUUGGGGCAAACCCUUCCCACUGCCUGUCAGAGGCAGCUGUGUGCACCAGCUGAGCCCUAGCAAAGCCUCCCAGACUACAUCCCCACAUUGACUGCUGAGGAUCUCAUGCUGGGUCACAAAGCAUUUGGGCACUUUGCUGAGUUCCAAUGCAUAUCCCCUGCCCACAAGUCAUAAACUCUGGAGCUCAGGCCUGGGAGGUUCAGGGUGCUCUACCUGUUCCUGAAGAAGCUUAGCCUUGGGAUCUACAUGGAAGUACAGUUCAAAUGAAGACUCAAGCAUAGAAGAUGUGGAUCUGGGGCAGAAGGGAGCCAGCUGAGUGAGAGGCCUGAUAUACCUGGGGAACUCAUCUGUUGGAGGGCUGUAGGCUUUUUGCCCAGUCUGUACAGCAUCCAGCCACAGCCUCUCCCACCUACAGUGGGGCACUUUGGGCCCAAGGAGCCAUUAGAGGCUGAAGAAGUCUCUGUGAGAGGGAGACCUUGCAUAGUUGUAUCACACUUGUACUUUCUGACAACUCUCCUUGCCCCUCCCCAUUGCAGUAAGCUUGGUGAAGGCAGUGACUGCUAUAUGCCAUUUCAUUGCACUCAAUGGAUCAGGGCUGCUGCUCCACGAAUAUUUGAGAAGUGAGAGGUCAGUUGGUAUCUGCCUUGCCUCUCUGCUGUCUCUAGCUUAGGCAGUGAUCCAUUGCUUACCCACUUAUGCAUUGUCUGUACCCACACUGAGCGAGGCCUGGGGUCUAGAAAAAAGGCUUUUAGGUGAGCAAUAUCUGUUCUGCUGCAAAUGGUGACUCUGUGGCCUCCAAAGAACAUUGUAACUCAAAAGGGCAGGCGUUGCAUCUGCUCUGCUUACAAGGUCACAGCCAAUACCCAGAAAUGUGUCUGCACACAGUGUGUCUUUAUGUGUAUUUGUAGCAUAAUUAAACCUAUUUGUUCUUCCAUGAUAUCUGACAGUCAUGGAUUCUUUGCUGUACUCAGGGUUUCCUGUGUUGAACAAACCCUGAGACCCAUAUAGUGACACUCCAAUCUCCUUUCCAAAGAAUAGAAAACUUCUCCCAAGUAUUGGUCAGUAAAGGGGAUGGAAGAUCAUUCAUGGGAAUCAGCACAGCCUCUACUGUAGGUCUUCAUGGGGCCACGCCACAGCUAACCACUUUGCAUGGAACCCCCAUUUCAUCCCCAGUGACCCUGAGGUCUCAAUGCACUCAGCACUUCAUCGUUCAGCAUUGUAAACUGGGGUUGAGUGAUCAACUUGCACAUGGCCAGAACUUGAAUCUGCAGGUGGCCAAGUCUCGCUGGGCUGCUAAGCCCUGAGGCUCCUAUGAAAGGAAAUGCGGUGCCUGAAAAUUCUUGUAAGACAAGCACCAGAGAAAUGGACAGAGUGGACUGACAUUUGAGAAACAGAGCCCUAAGAGGAUGACACUUGAAGUAUGAUACCUGGACUCUAGCAUAGCAUCAACUUGGGUCUUGUUUUAGAAACAUCAGUGCUUGUGUUUCACUCCAACCCUAUUGAAACAGGAAUCUGACAAUGGGCCCAGCACUGCAUUUUAACAAUUUUUAAAAACAUAAACACAGUGCUUCCAAUUCAUACAACACUUCCUCCAGUUGAUCCACCACUGCUGAUCUUCUCAUGGGGCAACAAUGAGCACAGGAAAAGACUUCAUUUCCCAGCAUCCUUUGCUGCAAUGUGUGGUCAUGGAAGUGAAUUUUGAACAAUUUGAUGGAAGUGGAAGUAGGAUUCCCAGGAAACCUCCUGGAAAGGAAGAGAUGCCUCUUUGGACUUCUUCUCAAAAUGCUGGGUUUGAAUGGUCACUCACCAUGAUGUCAUCACCAGAGCUGAACUGAUGCCAGACCUUCACACUGAGCCUCUAGCAUUGUGAACUAAAUAAACUCUGCUUCCUCUGAAGUAUCCAGCUACAGAUAGUUCAUUAUGGUAAUGAGACAUAGACUAAUACAGAGGGAGUGAGUUGGGACAGAUGAGGUGACAACUGACAGGCCCACAGGGUCCAGCAUACAGGGCACAGGGUGUGUUUCUCAGACAAGGCAGGUUUUUAAAAUAAGCUUUAUAGAGGCAGGAUAUAUAUGUCAUAAAUUAUAAUCACUCUACAUGGACUAUUCUGCUAUUUGAGACUAAAAACUUCAAUCACUGAAAAUUUUCCCUUCUAUUUUUGCAG